rnacentral:tRNA from 9 species
GCUCCCAUGGCACAGCUGGAUAGCGCGGCCCCCUCCUAAGGGGCAGGUCACAGGUUCAAAUCCUGUUGGGAGCGCCA